rnacentral:rRNA from 1 species
CGAAGGGGGCUAGCGUUGUUCGGAAUUACUGGGCGUAAAGCGCACGUAGGCGGAUACUUAAGUCAGGGGUGAAAUCCCGGGGCUCAACCCCGGAACUGCCUUUGAUACUGGGUAUCUCGAGUCCGGAAGAGGUGAGUGGAAUUCCGAGUGUAGAGGUGAAAUUCGUAGAUAUUCGGAGGAACACCAGUGGCGAAGGCGGCUCACUGGUCCGGUACUGACGCUGAGGUGCGAAAGCGUGGGGAGCAAACAGG